AUUGAACGCUGGCGGCAGGCCUAACACAUGCAAGUCGAACGAGUGGCGGACGGGUGAGUAAUGUCUGGGAAACUGCCCGAUGGAGGGGGAUAACUACUGGAAACGGUAGCUAAUACCGCAUACCAUCGGAUGUGCCCAGAUGGGAUUAGAUUGUAGGUGGGGUAACGCCUCACCUAGGCGACGAUCCCUAGCUGGUCUGAGAGGAUGACCAGCAACACUGGUACUGAGACACGGUCCAGACUCCUACGGGAGGCAGCAGUGGGGAAUAUUGGGCAAUGGGCGAAAGCCUGAUGCAGCCAUGCCGCGUGUAUGAAGAAGGCCUUCGGUUUGUAAAGUACUUUCCGCGGGGAGGCGUUACCCGACGAAGAAGCAACGGCUAACUCCGUGCCAGCAGCCGCGGUAAUAC
rnacentral:rRNA from 1 species